UACGUAGGGGGCUAGCGUUGUCCGGAUUUAUUGGGCGUAAAGAGCGUGUAGGCGGCCAGGUAGGUCUGGUGUGAAAACUCGAGGCUUAACCUCGAGAUGUCAUCGGAAACCAUCUGGCUAGAGUCCGGAAGAGGAGAGUGGAAUUCCUGGUGUAGCGGUGAAAUGCGCAGAUAUCAGGAGGAACACCAAUAGCGAAGGCAGCUCGCUGGGACGUUACUGACACUGAGGCGCGAAAGCGUGGGGAGCGAACAGG
rnacentral:rRNA from 1 species